rnacentral:rRNA from 1 species
AGAGUUUGAUCCUGGCUCAGGAUGAACGCUGGCGGCGUGCCUAACACAUGCAAGUCGAGCGAUCUCUUCGGAGAGAGCGGCGGACGGGUGAGUAACGCGUGGGUAACCUGCCCUGUACACACGGAUAACAUACCGAAAGGUAUACUAAUACGGGAUAACAUACGAAAGUCGCAUGGCUUUUGUAUCAAAGCUCCGGCGGUACAGGAUGGACCCGCGUCUGAUUAGCUAGUUGGUAAGGUAAUGGCUUACCAAGGCAACGAUCAGUAGCCGACCUGAGAGGGUGAUCGGCCACACUGGAACUGAGACACGGUCCAGACUCCUACGGGAGGCAGCAGUGGGGAAUAUUGCACAAUGGGCGAAAGCCUGAUGCAGCAACGCCGCGUGAGCGAUGAAGGCCUUCGGGUCGUAAAGCUCU